AGAUUUGAGGGAAAGAGUAAAAACAAGGAGGUCUGGGAAUGACUGAAGGGAUCUGACAGCAGUGAGGGAAGGAAGUAAUCACCAGAAUCUCAGAGAAGGAUGUUGACAGUGCAGGCCCAGGAUGAAGAAGAGGAGGAAGAACACGUUUAACAAUUUUCUAUAAGCUUGCCAUGUGUUAUAAUAAAAACAAUGAACAUGGCUACAAUAAUAUGCUAAAUGUUAUUAAAAGAUUCCAGUUUGCAAGAAGUCUGAGUGUCUGCCUCUACACUAGAGGAACUAUUUUCUGAAGAAGAUCAGGUGCUGAGAAGAAGCCUUGUUCUACAGCACAACACUGCAUCAAGCCUCCUGUCCUUCCCUCAGAAGAGCCUGUCUUCUGCUGCUGGGGUAAGAAACACCCUCUUCCUCUUCUCUAUCAGCUGUCCAGCACCUAACUCUGUCUGAAAGAGUCAUCUCCACAGUCAGUAAUCACAGAUCACAGAUUCUUCUGAGAAAAGUCGAUAUGCUCAUUUUCUUAAAAACAAAUAAUACAGGAGAGAUGAUAGAAAUCUCUAUAUUGUUCAUUUUUCAUAUCUUUACGCUUUAUGAAUGUUUUUCUUCUGAGAAGCUCAAGAAUUAUGGUUCUUUGGUAAUUGUUAUAUUGUUUAGGUUUAUCCUCUGAUAGUGAGCACAGAGCCCUGAUCAUGACAUGGAAGAAAAAAAGAAAUCAUGUCCAUGAUUUACUAAUUCGUUCCCUCUAUGUACUAAAACAUGCACGAUUACUUUUACAUUUCAUUGAUUUGCUAAAUCGUAUGCACAAUUUACUAAUUUGUUCUCUUGAUGUAUAAAUAGUGUACACGUUUUAGCAAAUCGAGGGAAUGAAAUAGAAAAUCGUGCGCAUGAAUUAGCCUAAAUGUUUUCCUGCAUGCCAUGUAAUUAAAGCACAUCACCAUCAGACAUUUAUACCAGGAGCCUCCUAUAUGACACUCACAGUUUUACUUUGUGCAGUAUCUCUGUGCAGUAUCUGCUGAAUUGUUUCAUAUCUAUUUAUCAUGUAUUUUUUGUUGCACUAAAUUAUGUUGUAUCAAUAAGUUUACUGAUAAUUAUUUUUAAUUUUCAAUAAUAACGUCAUUAACCAUCUCCCCAUCUUUAAGACAAAAAUUUUCUAUUGUUUAUAUUGUGUAAUCUAUGAAUUGAUGUGUUUAGUUUUCUGUGCUCAUAACUUAGUAACAUUUUGCAUGGUUAAAGAACAGGUGCGAUGUUCAAAAUGUUUUGGCUUCGUAUUUGUACAAAGUAGUGCUGAAUAAAUAUUGAUUUGUGAAUGAA